rnacentral:lncRNA from 1 species
AGCCAGGGCCAGUGGAGGCACAGCAGUCCCCACAGUCUGGGCGACAACUCAGUGUGACAGUGGGCAUCAACCAGGACAUCCUCCAGCAAGCCUUAGAAAACAGUGGGCUGUCUUCACUUCCAGUUGCAGCACCUCCCAGCGACUGCAGCCAUGCUCAGACGUCUACAGUGUCCUCGCAGAGUCCACACACCUCCAGUGUCUCUGCAGAGCAAGCUGAUCCCAUGGAUGCAGAGCAGGAAAAGGGACAGGAAAGCCCCGAAAAGGCGGAAAAGAAAGAGAAAAAAA